AAUAGAUACCCGGGUAGUCCACGCCGUAAACGAUGGAUGCUAGCUGUUAUGCGUAUCGACCCGUGUAGUAGCGAGGCUAACGCGUUAAGCAUCCCGCCUGGGGAGUACGAACGCAAGUUUAAAACUCAAAGGAAUUGACGGGGACCCGCACAAGCGGUGGAGCGUGUUCUUUAAUUCGAGGCUAAGCGAAGAACCUUACCAGGGCUUGACAUCCUUGGAAUUUCUCCGAAAGGAGAGAGUACUUUAUUGGACCAAGUGACAGGUGCUGCACGGCCGUCGUCAGCUCGUGUCGUGAGAUGUUUGGUUAAGUCCAUUAACGAGCGCAACCCUUAUGAAUAGUUGUAUUUUUCUAUUCAGACUGCCCCGGUAACGGGGAGGGAAGGGGGGGAUGAUGUCAGGUCAGUAUUGCCCUUACGCCCUGGGCUAGAAACGCGCUACAAUGGCCGGUACAAUGCGCUGCCAACCCGCGAGGGGGAGCAAAUCGCAUCAAAGCCGGUCCCAGUUCGGAUAAGAGGCUGAAACUCGCCUCUUUGAAGCCGGAAUCGCUAGUAAUCGUAGGUC
rnacentral:rRNA from 1 species